rnacentral:ncRNA from 1 species
GGGCAGGAUGUGUGAAGUAGUCCCACCUCGCAAGCGUGGUGUUCCUCUUCACUGGUCCUUAUUCGCACCUGCGGUGCUCAACGGACAUCCUGCUCUGCGAGGC